UACGUAGGGGGCAAGCGUUGUCCGGAAUUACUGGGCGUAAAGCGCGCGUAGGCGGCUUUGUAAGUUAGAGGUGAAAGCCCGGGGCUCAACUCCGGAACUGCCUUUAAGACUGCAUCGCUAGAAUUGUGGAGAGGUGAGUGGAAUUCCGAGUGUAGAGGUGAAAUUCGUAGAUAUUCGGAAGAACACCAGUGGCGAAGGCGACUCACUGGACACAUAUUGACGCUGAGGUGCGAAAGCGUGGGGAGCAAACAGG
rnacentral:rRNA from 1 species